GUAGUGGCCUGUUGAUGAAACCCUAGGCCAAGCUGCCAGUGUCUGUCACCCGGACUUCUGCCAUAGGCUCCUCCCAGAUCUCCCCACUUCCGUGUUUGACCUCCUACAAUCCAUUCUCCACAAAGUAGCCAGAUUAAAUACAAAUGAGAUCACACCACUUCCCAGCUUCCUUUCUUUAACUCCUCCUCCAGCUUGUCAUCACUCUGAUCCGGCUCUGCUUCUUUCAUCCUGGCUCCUGUUCAGCCUUAUCUCCUUCCAAGCUUUCCCUCUAACUACUUGCCUGUAACCACACUGCCCAUCUUGUUGCCUUCAAGUACACGGUACACAAGGCUUGUUUCUAUCCCAGGUCCUUUGCACUUACUGUUUCUUUGCUAGCAGAGCUCUUCCCUGGAUGCUCACACUGCUGCCUCCUUCACAGCCUUCAGGUCUCAACUCAGAUGUCACUAAGCAGCCAAACCACACCCCAGGCAAUGAAACUGAAUCCGAGAGAGCUUGAUUCACAUACCCCAUCUCAGCAAGCCACUUCACACCAAAAUCCAAACUAGAAGCAUAAAUCGAGGCAUCUAUAGGACAUGCCACUGUGGGCUUAUGCAAGAAGUUAGCACUGUUGCAAAUUUCAAAAAAGGUCUAAGGCAAAAUUUUAAACAAGGUCUAUGAGCUAUCUUUGCUGUAUCGCUUGGCAGCAGACAUUACCCUUAGGUCGUGUGGUAUCUGGUAGUUGGAGAAGUCUCACUGGCCAAGCCAGGCUUCCUUGUUACAGUGACUUAUACCUCUCCUCUGAGGUUUAGACCUUAGUUCUGUGAUACAGAAAUUCAAUUUCAUCUUUUCACCCAAGAAUAAUCAGGUUCCAAUGAAUUGAUCUACUUGUCAACCUCACAAACAGAGUUACUG
rnacentral:lncRNA from 10 species